GGCACAAGAGAGCCUGUUUGCCUGGGAGUGCAUGUUUCAAAUGCUUAGCUGCCUAUAAAGCUGUAACAGUUCAGCCUGUGGCCACUGAGGGAAGAAUAUAAGUUAACCUCUGUAGUGACCAUGUGGAAGUCCUGACCUUGCUUGCAGACUUGACCUCUGGAUAUGACAAGGUAAGGUCCUGUGUUCACUGAUACUUCCCUCUUACUUCACCGACUCAUGAAAAGAAGCGCUGAUUCAGCAAAUAGAGUGAAGAAUCAAGAUGAGAUGGCUGCUGCCGAUGUGACUCUCUAGGUCAUAUCUCUCCUCCUGCUAACGCCGCAUGACACUGAGCUUACAGGAUCUAGAAGCAAACUGCAAUAUAAGAAGAAAUUUGCUCUGAAGACUAUGAAGAAACACUAGGCUGAUCUUAGCAAUUUUUGAAAUACACUCUGUAAAUCCUCACUCUGUAAAUCCUAUGAAUGUCUUGAAAAAAGAACCAAACCAGGACAAAAUUCAACAGAUAACUGGUCAAUGUUUAGAAGUGUAUGUCCACCAAGAACAAGGAACCAUAAAUGGCACUACUCCCAUGCCUCAGCAGCAUAUGGAGUUCCCGGGCCAGGGAUCAGAUCCAGUUUGGACAUACGCUGCAGCAACACCGGAUCCUUUGCCUGCUAGGUAUCGAACCUACCACCUGGUGCUGCAGAGACACCGCCCAGCCCAUUGUGCCCAUUGUGCCCGUGGAGGAACCCUGGGGAUUCCUGAUACUUUAUAACUGUAUUUAAUAUAUAUUUAAACAGUCAUUUCAUAACACUUGUAUUAGUUUUAAGUAAAAAAAAACCAUAUAAAACUAAUGAAGACAU